rnacentral:rRNA from 1 species
UACGUAGGGUGCGAGCGUUGUCCGGAAUUAUUGGGCGUAAAGGGCUCGUAGGCGGUUUGUCGCGUCGGGAGUGAAAACCCAGGGCUUAACCCUGGGCUGGCUUUCGAUACGGGCAGACUAGAGGUAUGCAGGGGAGAACGGAAUUCCUGGUGUAGCGGUGAAAUGCGCAGAUAUCAGGAGGAACACCUGCGGCGAAGGCGGGUUGCUGGGCUGACACUGACGCUGAGGCGCGAAAGCUAGGGGAGCGAACGGG